AGAGUUUGAUCAUGGCUCAGAUUGAACGCUGGCGGCAGGCCUAACACAUGCAAGUCGAGCGGUAACAGAUCUAGCUUGCUAGAUGCUGACGAGCGGCGGACGGGUGAGUAAUGCAUAGGAAUCUGCCCGAUAGUGGGGGAUAACCUGGGGAAACCCAGGCUAAUACCGCAUACGUCCUACGGGAGAAAGGGGGCUCCGGCUCCCGCUAUUGGAUGAGCCUAUGUCGGAUUAGCUAGUUGGUAAGGUAAUGGCUUACCAAGGCAACGAUCCGUAGCUGGUCUGAGAGGAUGAUCAGCCACAUCGGGACUGAGACACGGCCCGAACUCCUACGGGAGGCAGCAGUGGGGAAUAUUGGACAAUGGGGGCAACCCUGAUCCAGCCAUGCCGCGUGUGUGAAGAAGGCCCUCGGGUUGUAAAGCACUUUCAGCGAGGAAGAACGCCUGUCGGUUAAUACCCGGCAGGAAAGACAUCACUCGCAGAAGAAGCACCGGCUAACUCCGUGCCAGCAGCCGCGGUAAUACGGAGGGUGCAAGCGUUAAUCGGAAUUACUGGGCGUAAAGCGCGCGUAGGUGGCUUGAUAAGCCGGUUGUGAAAGCCCCGGGCUCAACCUGGGAACGGCAUCCGGAACUGUCAGGCUAGAGUGCAGGAGAGGAAGGUAGAAUUCCCGGUGUAGCGGUGAAAUGCGUAGAGAUCGGGAGGAAUACCAGUGGCGAAGGCGGCCUUCUGGACUGACACUGACACUGAGGUGCGAAAGCGUGGGUAGCAAACAGGAUUAGAUACCCUGGUAGUCCACGCCGUAAACGAUGUCGACCAGCCGUUGGGUGCCUAGCGCACUUUGUGGCGAAGUUAACGCGAUAAGUCGACCGCCUGGGGAGUACGGCCGCAAGGUUAAAACUCAAAUGAAUUGACGGGGGCC
rnacentral:rRNA from 1 species